GAACAUUGACAGUUCAGGCCUGCCCUGCUCUUGCACAAGAGGGUGAAGCUGCUGAUGAAACCAAUACAGGUUGGGGUUUCUGUCCCUACAUGGAAUGAUGUCAGCUCUGUCUACAUCUGCUGUGGUGAGGGGAAGACCAUAAAGGACCAACCCAAAGUCACCAGCAUCAUCAUGAAACCCCCCAUGGCAUCCGGAGAGCCCAAGGUCUCCUCUACUUUGCUGGGCCAGAGGAUCAGCCCCUGCCUGGCAAAGUCACCAGAGCACUGUAAACUGCCUCACCAGGGCUGUGACCUGUUGAAGCUGUGGUCUCAUCCCAAUGGUGGUUGGCUCAGGAGAGCCCUGAUGAUCCCUCCUUUCCCCGUCGCCAAUGAAGUCUCCCAAUGACUCUUCCCUGUGGCUGCACGCUGAGAUUGCAAGAGCAGAUUCCCUGGUUGGCUCAUGCCAUGUUUCAACAUAAAACCACUGCAUGUCUCUGCUUCGGCUUCUCUAUUUCAAGAGCCAUAAUUCGCCAUGACUAUCUCCAGGGACUUCCCACCAGGUGGCCUGGAAUAGCCGUCAUGUGGGUAAUCCAUCCCUGGAGUGAGUCAGCGCUGCCCUGCACGUGUCUCACGGGAGCCUUUGGCCAUGCACAAGAAAGCUGAACAAAGAAAUACGACUGUAAACAAUGUUUGGAGGCUUGUGAAAUACCUCCCAUGUCCGAUUAGGUCACUUUAGCGGAAGCUCAACUUUGUUUUGCCCAGCUUGACUGGGAAGCUCUUUAAAGAAAACCCAGAGCAGGCUGUGCCUCACCUUCACCAGGCCACCUAAACCCCUUGAUUUUAGUUAUAAAUCUCUUCUAACAGCUCAUGUUAUCAAAAGCUUAUGGUUAUCGCAGUAAACUCUGACCUGGAAAGCCAUUUAUACCAGUUAUCUCUCCCAGCUGGGCAGACCAAAGGGACAUCCUUUAUCAAAGCACAGGUGGGGUGAGGACUUGACCCAAUUUGCAUUUACUCAGGAGCUGAUCUCAUUUCCAAUUUAAUUAAGUUUUCUCAUAUUUUUUGGCAUAUCCUAAAGGUACGCACCAGCCUGAUAUAUGACCCAAGGGGAAUGAACAUAAAUUGCUUAUAGCAAAAGAAUUCAGAUGGCAGUUUUAAGAAAAAACAGAGCAGAUUUUAAAUGCAGGUUGAAAUGCAGCUCCUGAGAGCAAGCAGUGUCAUCUGUUGGGAAGAGAGAGCAGGUAACAGGCUUGUAACCUAAAUGGCAGACUUACUCUUAUACUGGAAAUAGGACUUUUAUCAGUGGGAUGCUCUGAUUUCAACCUUUGUGCCCUUUCCACAGGAAACACGGCAGAACUCUGUGCUCUCUAAUCACAGCCCACACCAGGACCUGGGAAGGGGACAGCUGUUCCCCAUUCCCAUGUUUGCUCCCAGGCCUUGUGCAAGGGGACUGUGAGGUCUCUCUGUGGGGUGCAGCACUGCAUUCCCCUCCA